AGACGAUCUUGUAAACACAAACCUCUAUCAACAUAAAGGAACCAUAAGGAUGAGGAACUGGUAUUCCACAGCUACCUGUGAGAUCUGUAUAUCUAAUCAGAACACCAGAAAGGGGAUUAUUGUUGAAUCAGGAAACAACAGCCAGUAAUGCAUGAACAGCUGAACAAAACUGAGUCAUGCUACGAAACAUCACCUGGGAUUUUAAGCCAUUCUCAAAGUUUUGGAAAGUAUUGCUCUACAGUUAAACAGGCU
rnacentral:lncRNA from 1 species